rnacentral:rRNA from 1 species
ACUAGUGAUUGGUGAACCUGCGGAAGGAUCAUUA